CUGGCUAUUUCUAAGGGACUUUCCUAUCGUGUGAACUGUGUCUUGGCCAGGGGCUUUCAGCUUUCAGACAGGUUAACAAAACUUUAUGACCAGAAACGCUUUCUCUUUUUUUUCCUCUCACUACACACAUGCAUAUGUACAUGAACACACAGAUUCUCAGCAAACGCAUACACAGAAACUCUGCCUCAUCUACAGGGGCAUGCACACAUCCUCACAUGCAUGUGCAAAUUCUCCUUCCUUCGUGCUUUCUUAUGCUUUCACAUACAUACAAACAGUAGUAUGGCUUGUUCAUCACUAAAUCCCCAGCACCCAGAGAGCACAAGACAGGGUCUUCCCCUCCUAUCUUUACCCCAGACUACAGUACAGGACAGAUGCACAAUAGCUGCUCAACUUAGCUGUCUGGCCCUUCCUACUGCUGGUUAACCAAGGUCAACUGAGCCCAGAGACAUGGUAGAGGCAAACUUGGACAUACUCAAGGCCAGCAUGUGUAAGGUAUGACAUAUGUUGUCUCAUGUAACUUGCAUUGAAUAAACUAGACUCUGGGGGUAUAACCUGUGGUAUAUUUUUACUAUGGAAUUCUAUUUAGCCAUGAAAAAGAUGGAGCCUUUGUGUCUCUUUUAUAACAACCUGGGUGGCUUUGGAGAACACUCUCUUAAGUAUCACAGGAAUGGAAAAAUGAGCAUCAUGUGCUCAAUACUAAAUUGAAACUAGUAGAUUAAUGAUGUGCUCACCUGAGAGAAAAACUCAAUUAAAUUCAAAAAGUGGGGGAAGAGAGUUCAGCAAGUUUCCACCCAAAUCAAACAAUGCGUGGAUAUACGGCACACUUCCUGGGUGAAGGAAACAACUGCGACUCUGACUUUAACCUUAUGAAUGUGAACAAUGCAACCUAAUCAUGUGUACCCUCAUAUUCGUCUGUAAUAAAAAAUAAAUAACUUCCAUUAGUCAAUCUUCAGGGCUGAAUCUUUUUUGUCUCCUUUGACAAAAACUUGGACUUGUUCCACAACUCUUUUCUGUUUUCUCUUAGAUAAUACAAAGUUCCUCAUUUGUUUUAAAUCCCAAAAUAUUGUUUUGAUUUAAUAAUUAACAUGUCCCAUCUGGGAUGUUAAUAUUACUACUUGUUUUAGUCCAUUUUGGGCUGCUAUAACAGACUACUUAAGACUGGUAAUUUUAAAAGAACAGAAAUUUGUUUAUUAUAAUUUUAGAGGCUGGGACAUCCAAGAUUGAGGGGCUGGCCUCUGGUGAGGGCCUUCUUGCUGCAUCAUGCCAUGGUGGAGGGGCAAAGAGAGAGCUAGAGAUUGAACUCACAGCAUCAAGCCUUUUCAUAAUUGGCAUUAAUCCAUUCACGAGGGCCAAAUCACCUCUCAUUUAGCCCCUACAUCCCAACACUGCUGCGUUGGGGAUUAAGUUUCCAACACACGCCUUUCCGGGAACACCGUCAAACCAUAGCACUACCAUUAGCAAUAACAGCAGUAAUAAACUUCAAACUUCAUUUAAAAGCAACUUUCCUCAUCCAAUGCUUGGACCUGGAAUUGCUGCUGGCCAGUCUCCUGCACUGCCAAGGGCUCUGUGCCUUCCUUCCUCUUUCCUUCUGCAUCUUGCUGAGCACAGUGGGAUUUUUAACUGUCCAUUGUCAGGGAUGGGAAGAAGGAAAGGAGAACAAGAGAGUUCUAACUGGAUUAGCAUAGAAUUGAAGAUCCAGGAUCUCUCUAGCUUGAUAGGCAUUUACACUUUCUUGUUCUUUUACUGGGUGUUUUUGUGGGUUCUUUGGAGAACAGCUCCCUCCCCUGACCCAUACUGGUGAUCUCCUGAUGUGGGUCAGGGCGCUUCUAUUCCAGCUGGUUCCUUCAGACUCCUUCCCAGCCUCUAUGCGUGAGGGCUUUUGUCCCCCUAUGGUCUUCUGACAUAAUCUAGGCUGACUUAGCACAUCUCCCUCUCAUGGGGUCCAUACCUACUUUGGGAAAACCCUUCUGCAUUCUCUAACUUGAUACUUUCUGAGAGAAUAGGUUGUUCCCAGAGCAGCGACCUCUUUUUACUCUGCUGUUAGAACAGUUGAUCAGCCAGCCUCUGACCCUUCACACUUAGCAGUGGGAGUCAGAUUCCAGUGUACUGAAUCCCUUAAACAUAGAGAAAACAUCAAGUUUCCCAAUGAUCUUGUUAAAGCUACUUUCCCCAGGCUUGAGUUAAGGGAAGGAGUGUACAAAGACACAAAACUGUACUUACAGCUCUUUCUAGAAAUCCCCUGUCUAAUCCCCCACUUUGUUCUUGGCCUCUCCCACCUCUCUUAUAUGCCAAAGUUGGGUCAGCAAAAACACACAAGAGCAGUUUUCAACAUCAUCUUUUGCAGUUCUUGCGUGGUGGGCUUGGACUGUAUUUGAGGAUGUGUUGUCUGAUAUCUUGGGCCUCAUGUGAAAUCUGGACUAAAGUAGUUAAUUUUUUAGAAUUCUUUUACAUGAUUUCUCCAAGGCAAAAUUUCAAGGUAGAUAUCGCUAUCUCCAUUCAGUGGUUGAUAAAAUGGUUUCAAAGGAAACCCAUGUUAAUCAGAUUUCAAAUCCUACUAUGAAGACCGAGGCUUCACCUUCAUAGUGCCUGAAUAGCAUAAUGCUUGAGGGCCUGUCAUACAGACAGGUUAGGCAUCUGCAUCAAAAUCUGCUGUCUUCCAGCUACUUCUUAUUCUUACAGCAUGUUCCUAUGCUCAGACUCAUUUGAUGGGAUGUCACCCAGGACAAGAGCCUUCCCAAUGCCCAGCAAGUUGCUUUGGAAGAAUGUGGCCAAUGAACAGUCUUUCCUGUGUUUGACUCUAGCAUUGAUUCUAUUUCCCAUUUUCUCUGCAAAGCUUAUAUGUAAUGUUUUGCUUUUCUGAUUCUGUUGAUUGCUAUAUUAGAGAGAGAUCCUUGAUGAACACGAUCUUUAUUAUCACCAGCAAUACAUAUUUAAAAAGGUGUCUUUAUCAUCUGCCUUUAUCUUGUUCUUCUCUGUGUUUGCAACAGUCUUAGAGCAUGCUGUUGCUCAAGAGUCUAGGUGAAUUAAUUCAUUGGCUGGACACAGUUAAUUUAAGGGUGGGUUAGGAGCAGAGGAAGGAGAAUGAGUGGGAAGGAAACGUACCUAUGGGGGCUCAUCCUCCUGGUCCCCUGGCCAGUCCUUAGUUUCAGCUUUCUCAUCAGACCAAGGGAGUAAGGGUCCCUGUCUUAUCAGCCUCACCAGUAUUGUAAGAUGACCCUCCAACAAGAUCAUAGAGAAGGGAAGGGAAUAAAAAAUAUCCAAUGUAUGGGUUUGGUCUGGGGAAACAAAACUUCUGACUCAUCCUGGGCCUGGAGGACCCAGAGAACCACCCUGGCCUGUGUGAGUUGCAAACAGAGGCCUCUCUACAUUCUGGCAUAAAUUAUCCCAGGCAGAGGCGUCAGGGCUGUCUGCUCCCUGUCUGGCCUCCUUGGCCACCUUGCUUCAUGAGACAUAAAUCCCCAAGACUCCCUAGUCAUUUCUAAUCUGCUUCAGUGUUUAUUUUUUAAUUUUGUCCCCCUCCUUUUUUGUCUGCUUGCUAUUUUAUAGGACUAUAGGCCAGGAGGGCAGAAUCUAGCUACAAAUCUCUUAACUCUGGCUGCUGAGACGGUGGGACAGAGUGGGUGAGGUGCAGUGGGCCCUAACACAGAUGCCCUAGAAAGCUCAAGCUAGGGCUGGAUGGGCGGACGUGGGGCCCACUUUCUAAGGAAGUGAAGCUCUCUCAGUGUGCCCAGGCCUCUGAGUUCAGAAUCUAGACAAAAUAAGAAGUGUGCUCAGGGGAACAGGAUGAUAGGGGUGGAGUUAGAGUCAUCUCCACGAUGUCUAGCGGGGUGACAUCGACCAACCUCCUGGAUGUUUCUGAGCCUCAUUUUCCUCUUUAAUGGGAGUGACAGUAACUACUUCCUAAGGUGAUUGUGAGGAUCCACUGAGAUGACCUUGGCCUGUGUGUCUAGCAGACUGCCUGCCACAGGAGGCAUCCUGUACACGUGGUUUCCUCCUCUCUUAAACCAUCCAUGAUUGCAAAGUAGUGAAUUUGUCAUCUGCUCUUUUUUCUCCAAUAUGAGCUCCUUGAGGGAGGAACUUUAUCUAACUUGUUCACCCAGGACUCCCAGCACCUAGUGGAAUGCCUGACAUUUUAUCUGUGCUCAAUUGGCUGAAUAAUGAAUGAAAAAACAAGUUCUCUGUAUGAAUUCCAUGCUUACAGAGGCAUUUCCAUGUAAGAGAAUAUUUCCAGAGACUUACAGAUAUUUAGAAUCAGAUGGGGCUUAGGGCAACAUACAGCUUGAGGUCUUCACUGCUGAGAGGAAAGGUUCCUCUUCGUGAGACAUAACUUUGGUUCAAGGAGGGAAGAGACUUGUCCAAGAUCACAGCCAAAAUCCAGGGCAGAGCGAGGGCUGGAAGCCUGGCAUUUUGAUCCCCAUCUCAUGAUCCUUAUACGACAUUAAGCUUUCAGCCACAUUUUUAAGGUAGAAAAGAGAGGUCGAGAACUAAGAAAAAGGCAACCUGGAGAAAAGGAGAGCUAAGGGAAAAAAAAAUUCUGCUCAAAAACAGAGAGAGAGUGAGAGAGAGAGAUGCGGGGAGAGAGAGACCCAGGAAUGGGACCUACAAAACAUGUUACAUGACAGCCCCAGGGUGUCCUCAGAAUGCUGAGGACUGCCUUCACUCUGGGGCUCAGCAGCGCACCUGACCUUUAUCCAUGCAGGUCACGGGAGGGAGUAACAUUGGUAAAAAUGGGGAAGGCUCGACUUCUGCUGGAAGCCAACUUCCGCUGCCUACUUCAGUUCCGGUUGGCAAGACUUUGUUUUCCUCCUACCUUAUGCAGUGACGCUAUUUCUACCAGCACGACUCUUCCUGGCCCUUCUGUUACUACUGCCAAAGAUGAGGAAAAGGAGUUAAGUAAUCUGCCUGUGAUCAGCUCAUUCAUGAAGGGAGGAAGCAGCAAUGCAAAGCCUGAUGUCUCCCUGAGGUCAGAGCCCAGCAGUCUGUCCUCGUGCCUCACUCUGGCCUUUCUCUGGCUACUUCAGAUGCCGCCGUGUUCCACUGAAUCAGAACAGAUCCUUCCACUGUAUUCAGACGUGAAUAAUACUGCAACAAUAAUUCCCACUCCUCCGUGUCUGCGAAUAUCCUAAAUAACAUACCAUUCCAGGCCCCAUGCUAGGGGCUGGGACUUCAGAUAUGAGAAAAGGUGCAGCCCACUGGGGAGGCUGACAUUUAAAUGGAAUCUUGUGAAAUGGUGUUUUAAGCACCAAAGAGAAGCAUGAUGCCAGCAUGUGGGAAGUUAGAGCAGGAUUAGAGGAGGAAGAGACAUAUGAGCUGUGUCUGAGUGGGGGACCACCAGGAGCAGGAGAGAGCACCCAGCUGAGUGAGCAGAGCGCAGGCAGAGACAUGCUGUGUGGUGUGGGAUACAGCGGAGCAGGGGGUUCACAUGGAGAGAGCCAGAGGCGAGACUAGAGAGGGCCCUGGGUCAGACUGUAGAAGAUUUGGGGACCAGGCUAACUUUUGGCUGUAUUUAAGGUACUAGCCAAGGUGAGGCCUUCACAAUGACAGACCUGGCUGAAUCCCAUGUUGACAAUACAUAGUAGAUGCUUAAUAAAACCAGUUGAUUGGCCGAUAAAGGCGCAUGUUGAAAAUUGAUUGGCUGAUACAGGUGCAUGUUGAAAAUUCUCUGUAACACCUGGCGUAUAUUGGAUCCACUUCUGUUGAAGGCCUAGCCCUGCUGCAACAGAGAUAAUUUUCCUUUUGCCCUCAAUUUCCUCCAAGGUGGGACUUCCCUGCUUCAGGCUGCAGAUGGUGCUCCUGGAUCCGGGGUGUGCUGGGCCAAGAAUUUCUGCCAGCAUCCUGGGCUUCUUAUGAAAUUGGAGAUUUGGGUUGAGCCCUAGUCAGUUUCCUGACGCAUGCCUACAUCAUUUCCACUGCUCUGAAGCCUACUCCACCUUCCCACCUCUCACCAAAGCCACAGAGAUCCACAGCAAAGCUGGGAAGGAUCAAAGCUCCAACACUCCAAACCCUGGGAGAUGUAGAGGCCAGGGGUCCACCCUCAGCUCUGGAAAGAGAACUUCCCAAAUAUACAGCCACAAGCAGCUUUAAUAACUCUGGGCCUGCUCAUGGACAUAAACGCUCAGUUUUAUUUUGGAAUUUAUUGUCACUUGUAAAAUAAAUAACACACUUGAUUGGAGGCUGUUAAGUUGGUACUCACUGCUUGCCAAGGGCCUGGAAAGCCUGCUGGGGCGUGACCAAUCUGGGCAUUCUCUAAAGAAGCUUAAUUGCUCUUCCUUCCACCCUGGGUCUGCAACACUCUUUCCACACCCAAGGCCUAUUACUCUUUCAGCCUCUCUCAGAGUGGCUAAGGCCUCCUGGCCUCCCUUCAUCCCAGAGUGUCGCAUGGUUACCUUCCAUUGUCUUAGGAUCAUGUAUUUCAAAAUCUAAAAAACCUUUCAAGCCUAGAUUAAUACUGUCCAUGAACAGUUAGAUUAUAAAUUGUGAAGAACUUGGAGUUCUAAACUAUCUGGAACUUAGGAAUUAAGAGUAAUAAAUUCUUGAAUGGGCGUGGUGCCCAUAGCUCAGCGCCAGCCAUAUGCACCGGGCAGGGCUGGUGGAUUCAAGCCCAGCAUGGGCUUGCUAAACAACAAUGACAAUAACAUCGAAAAAAUA